rnacentral:lncRNA from 1 species
CGCCUCCGCCCCCGCCAGCCCUGCCUGGAGCCGGGAAGUCGCUGCCGCCUGUGCCCAGCGCGGUCGGACCUAGCUCCUGCAGCCUUCGUGAGGCGAUUGAAGUUAUGUGGAGUGCCCUGCCUGCCCUGGUGCUAUGGGGGCUGUAGUCAGGAGGCAAGGAGGAGCAAAGGAGGAGAAUAUUGCCUCAUCUGCUCACAACAAGCCAGGCCACCUGGCAUGGGAGCGGUAUGGGCAUAGCAGAGAGCAUGUGAAUCACCCUGGAUGUGCAGAUCACUAUGGGCCUGAUUGUGUGCAACAUUGAGACACUCAGCAACUCCUCAUUUCCACAGGCACUGAGGUCACUGGAAACAAUCAGUAAUUUUCAACAGAAUGCUUAAGAAGUGAGAAAAAAUACACCAAGGAUAAUAACUAAGUGAAUAAAUUUUAUGUGAUAAAUGGGAAGAGAAGUUUC